AACUAACGCUGGCGGCGUGCCUAACACAUGCAAGUCGAACGCGAAAGGGCUUCGGCCCGAGUAGAGUGGCGGACGGGUGAGUAAUGCGUGGGAAUCUACCCUAGAGCGGGGGACAACCCGGGGAAACCCGGGCUAAUACCGCAUACGUCCUACGGGAGAAAGGGGGCCUCUGAAUGUAAGCUCCCACUCCAGGAUGAGCCCACGUCCGAUUAGCUAGUUGGUAGGGUAAAGGCCUACCAAGGCCACGAUCCGUAGCUGGUCUGAGAGGAUGACCAGUCACACCGGAACUGAGACACGGUCCGGACUCCUACGGGAGGCAGCAGUGGGGAAUAUUGGACAAUGGGCGCAAGCCUGAUCCAGCCAUGCCGCGUGGGUGAAGAAGGCCUCGGUGUAAGCCCUUAGUGGGAGGAAGGCGAUUCAUGCUAAUACCAUGGAUGAUUGACGUUACCACAGAAUAAGCACCGGCUAACUCCGUGCCAGCAG
rnacentral:rRNA from 1 species